UACGAAGGGGGCUAGCGUUGCUCGGAAUCACUGGGCGUAAAGCGCACGUAGGCGGAUUGUUAAGUCAGGGGUGAAAUCCUGGAGCUCAACUCCAGAACUGCCCUUGAUACUGAGGAUCUCGAGUUCGGGAGAGGUGAGUGGAACUGCGAGUGUAGAGGUGAAAUUCGUAGAUAUUCGCAAGAACACCAGUGGCGAAGGCGGCUCACUGGCCCGAUACUGACGCUGAGGUGCGAAAGCGUGGGGAGCAAACAGG
rnacentral:rRNA from 1 species